UCUGUUGUAGCUUCAGUUCUUGUAGGCGAAAGCUGGCUUGAACUGCUGCUGCAUCAAAAAACUUUAAUUCAAAGGAGCCUAACUAAGCUCAACCACUAAAACCAAAUUCUCAACGAUGGAUAUCUUGGUUCCCAUAACGAUGAAGAACGCAGCGAAGUGCGAUAAGCAAUGCGAAUUGCAGAACCGUGAGUCAUCAGAUCUUUGAACGCAACUGGCGCCUAUUGGAAUCCCGGUAGGCAUGCUUGUUUCAGUGUCUCUUUCUCUCAUCACCUAUAUCUUAAUGCUUGAGAUACCCUUCUCUUGCUAAACAUGAAAGCACUCUACACUCUGCGAGCAGC
rnacentral:misc_RNA from 1 species